UGACGAUAUCUAUGGUAGAGGAGGCUCGUGUCCCUAGUUUAUUUCAAUGAGUCGUAUUUUUUGCAUUGCGUUUGCCAAAUGCGGACUGUAACUUUGUGGAAAACUGCAACAAAAUGGUUAAUCAACGCUCUUAAAUGGAAAAUAGGCAGAAGUUGAGCUGCACCACUUCAAAUGAAUGAAAACUGAAUCUCAGGAAGACUGGCUCUACGUGCCAGCUGAAUAGUCUCUGUUUCAACACUUCAUCACCCUUGCCCACUUCAGUCCCACCCCUACCAAUCCACCAGGAUCUUUGGUUACACCCUCCAUGUGAGGACCACAAAGCAGUGCUUUGCAUUAAAAACCCUGCUCUUCUAGAUUCUUCCACAACAAUCUCAUGAAGAAUCAGGCUGAUCUUCAACACCUAAUCCAGCAACUAGUUACACAGAUGCUCUGAUCCUGAGCGGCUUACGAAAGCCCAUACAGAACUUUAGACAAAGAGCAGAGAGGAUACCAGUAUAGCUGUCACAACCCAUUGGUGAUGCCCUUACUUAAACAUACAAUUAUGUUAAAUGCCAUAUUUUAAGAGGGAAUUUGAGGAUAUAGUGCUUUAAUUGUCAAAUUCAUUUUUUAAAGAUGCAGUUCUACUUGAUGUAGUGGAAGGAAAGAUUAAAACUAGGCAUUUUAAUCAGUUAAUAUACAGUAGGGAUGUUCCAGGACACUACCAAGUCCUGGUUGUUUUCAUUCUUUAUCACGGAGUAAUACAAUUAUGAUACUCCAUUUAUACUUCUUAUUCAGGAGUAUGUUAUUUUUUAAGGCCAAACUGUCCACAGCAUUGAAAGCACAGACAUGUGUCAAUCAAACAGGGCAUGGACCUCCGGAAGCAGUUAACAGAUAUUACAAGGACAGAGAAGGGCUUUGGUUUGGAAGAGUAAACUCGGUAUAAAGAAUAGAAUUGUGUGGUUUGCAAAAGCCCAUAUAAAAACAAGAAGCAGUGAUAAUACGGGGAUAGCACUGCCACAACCAAUUGCAGGAGUCAUUGCGUACGCUGGCAAAAUAGCAUUCGGUGUCAUAGUAGCUGCAAGAGGGAAUUUGAGGAUACAUUAUGAAGUGUCAAAUGGCUUGGAGGAUAUAUUUUUAAAUUUAGCAGAAGAACUAGCAUAAGUGCUUUUAUUUCAGGGGUCCUGGGAAGUUUUGAAUUUCUGUUCAAUCAGUGGCAGAGGAUAAUAUUGGGGAGUUAUACGAAAUAGUUCAUAGGCCCUGUUAACAUACACUAUAUGGCCAAAAGUAUCUGGACACCGUUUGAGGCUGUUUUUCAUGGUUUGGGCCAGGCCCCACAGUUCCAGUGAAGGGAAAUCUUUAUACUACAGUGUACAGUCACAUUCUAGAUGCUUAUGUGCUUCCUCAACAGUUUGCCACCUUGUGUAACAACCAUUAGACACUGAACUGAAGGCACAGCACCCCAUGUUUUCACUGAUACACUCCCACAAGCCCAGACCAUAUCGUUAAGCAGGUUUACUGCAGACCACAAAAAUGCCAAACUGGGUAGAGGUGAAGCAUAUUCGUUGCACAUGAUAAAAUUAGCAAUUCCACUGGUGCCCGUGUCCCUUUUUGUGUACCCACAUCUGGUACAAGGAGCAGAAUUUUGGCAGAACCAAGGCUCUGAAUUAAGGUUUGAGAGGCUACAAACUCACUUUUGUGCAUUUUGUAUUCUUAUGCAUACUAAUGUUGAUCCAAGCCUGAUUCCAUUGAAAACAAUGCAUUUAACAGUGAUGGUAGCUUUUAUAUGAUGCAAUGAAAUGCAAUAAUGCACAUUGGGGAGUUUACCAUAGACACCAAUAUUACAGACACAGGUUAAUAUUUAAUGAAUGCUGUAGGUCAGCCCAGGAUGUACAUGAUGUAGAAUGCAGGAAAGUGAAGUGAUCCAAUAAUGUUUCAGUUUUUAGGCUUAUUAAAAACAUCAAUCUUUACACUCUCCUGUAGAGUAGCUGAAGAAACAGUUGGCCAGACU